ACUCCUACGGGAGGCAGCAGUGAGGAAUAUUGGUCAAUGGGCGAGAGCCUGAACCAGCCAAGUCGCGUGAAGGAAGAAUGUCCUAUGGAUUGUAAACUUCUUCUGUAGGGGGAUAAAAAAAGCCACGUGUGGUUUCUUGUAGGUACCCUACGAAUAAGGAUCGGCUAACUCCGUGCCAGCAGCCGCGGUAAU
rnacentral:rRNA from 1 species